GGUGCUACUUCAUGCACAGCAUCCUUCCUAGAUGUUCUCAACCUGAGCUGCUGUUACCUAUGGAGAAUCUUUAUUACUACCCUAUUAAGCUUUCUUGCUUCAUGUGCUACCCUUCUCUUGGACAUAUAUGUAAUUAGACAAACCACCUUCCUUUUACCACCUUCCUCUUUCUUGCAGUGAUGGGUAAAAUUAGGCAUUUUUCUUUUCAGCUUACUGAAUCCUCUCCAACACAGCAUACCAGCUAGCUUCCGCAUCACCUUCCCUCUGCAAAGUGCAUCUUCUGGCGUUAGAGGAAAAGCAGUUGUGUUCAGUCCCAGGAUGGCCUGAGAAUUAACUUGAGACUGUUAGAUUUUCAGCAAAAGACAACUGCCACAAAUGGCGUUACGAUUACCUAGGAGAGUGGGGGCCUUCUUCAGCUGUUUUAGGAACCCAGUGUCUAUAGCUGCUGAUGCCUUUGCGGGGGAUGAGGCAAAGAUGCGAAUCUUGUAAAGCCCAGUUCUCAGGUAGAAGCCUGCUGUAAAUGCAGUGGAUGCUAAGUGAGUCGUAAGAUUAAUCAGUAGUUUCCCUCUCCCUCUUAUCUUUCUAGAAUAAUAUUGCAUGCAGUUGAACCAGCAUAGUGGAAAAUAAUAUUAUGAUAUCUAAAGGUGUUUUGCGGAACAAAGGAUAUUGGAUCAAAUAUUCUCCUGAGCUUGCUCACUCCUCAUACUGUAAUGAAGAGCAGAGGCUGGCUUUCUUUAAAAUAAUGAGAAGCUGUGACUUUGAGCAAUAUGAUUGUACAUUUUGGCUUGCUAUUUCCCAUGCAUGAGAAGGUUGUGAUAGUAGGUAUAAUUUACUGUGAGAAACCACUGGCAUUAAUGCUUUCAUCAUGAGAAACAAAUGGUCUCCCUUUGAAAUCUCCUGCCCACCUUGAGAGACCAAUAGGGUUAUAAAUCGAGAAAGAACAAAUAUUGACUCUAUGAAAUGUAAAGGUACCUGGAGUUCACCCAUCAGUCUUCAGAUUACACCUGCCUAUCAGGAUGAAUGUUUUUUCUUCAUAAUCCGCUCUGAUUAUUUUUUCAGCUCAGUGCUCUUUCUAGGUUUUCAAGAUGUUCCAUACAAUUUCUGAAGAAGCUCAGAUUUCUGGAAUGAAGUAGAUAUUCCCAACCCAAGAGUUAUCUUUCGUUUCAGCUUGAUAAUAAAUGGAAGAAAAUAGAUGUGCAUGGACACAUGGGUGAUGCGCCACAAAAGCCAUGCCUACUUUCAGAAGCAUGCCAGGAGCCCGGGGUUCAGGUGAGCAGGUCCAAGAGGAACCAGUUAUAUUGGUGACCUGAGAGACACAUCUGCAGUGACAGAAACAUCAGGAGAGGAAGACAGGUCAUUGAAAUGCACGUGCCAAAUGAAAUCUGGUUUUGAAACAUUUUAAGAAGGACACUGAAAUAAUGGAAAGAUUUCAAAGACAAUAACAUGAUGGAUGACCUUUUACGGAAGACCUUGUCCACAUCUCAUAGGUGAGAAGGAAUGAGACUAAACACUAUCUUCUACCUGUCUGGGCUUUCUCCCCAGUGAAACUCAGAUUCCCAAACAGGCAACUGAAGUGCAUUUUAGUGGGAACAAAAAAGAGCCCCAGAGCAUAACUGCCCCGGCAUCAUGGAAACACAGCUACUGCUUUAACACAGUGCUCACAAUCAGCUUAGCCAGGCAAAUCAGCGGUGCCUUGAUACCAGGGAGCUACAACAGAACACACAGCAACCAGGCACAGGGUGCAGGGGCAAGGUACUGGUCUCUGUAGUGCACCUCAAGUGAGAUGAAGUUCACCUACAGUAACUUGGGAAUCCCUGAGCUUGAUGCAGUUUAUAGAAUCACAGAAUAUCCCAAACUGGAAGAG